UUGGCUUUGAAGUGCAAUCCUUCAGAUCUCAGCUUCCUGAGUAGCUAGGAUUACAGGUGUGAGCUAACAAUGUCUGGCAAGGUGAUUUUGUUUUAAGUGAGAUACAAAUACUGAUUGAUCCUCUUAACAUUUAACCCUAAAUUAAGCAUCAAAAUUUUUUAACCUGAUACAGUUCCUCACAUUGUCAACAUAAUAGAAACUAAGGAACAGAAGAAAC